rnacentral:rRNA from 1 species
UACGUAGGGUGCAAGCGUUGUCCGGAAUUAUUGGGCGUAAAGAGCUCGUAGGUGGCCUGUCGCGUCGGCUGUGAAAACUCGAGGCUCAACCUCGAGACGUCGGUUGAAACCAUCUGGCUAGAGUCCGGAAGAGGAGUGUGGAAUUCCCGGUGUAGCGGUGAAAUGCGCAGAUAUCGGGAAGAACACCCGUGGCGAAGGCGGCACUCUGGGACGGUACUGACGCUGAGACGCGAAAGCGUGGGGAGCGAACAGG